AUGAAGCUGUGUUUCUUAUCCAAACAGAGCAUGAUCAGAUUACGCUGCGCACAGAGCCCCGGCUGCUCCCGCUGCGCGUUGCUGGAGCGCUCCAACACCUUCGGGAGAUUAUUGUUCCAAAAGGGGCUGAACACAACUCCUGCUUGUCCGUACUUCUGGAACAUUUUCUUCUCUCUUUAUCUCUCCUUUUCCCAGAGGAUGCUGUGCUUUGAUGUCUCUGUAACACAGAUCACACUGGCACUGAGAGGGAGAAGCGACGAGCUGCCUCUGCAGCAAACGGGUGAUGAGCAAACCGUGUGCGACACCUCCCACGUGUCUCGGCGCUGCAGCUCGCUCUGGGGUCCAUCCCUGCUGGUGGGAAGGAAAGACAGGACGCUUUCACACCCUGCUCUCAUUAGCUGUGUGAGCCUGUGCUGCUCUUUUCUCCAGCACUUCUUUCCCCUCUCACAGCAAAACCAUAGGACAGGAGAGAAACACUGCUGGAUUCAAACCUGGGCCUUUAUACAAGAAACCAUUGUAUUCCAAAAGUCCUAUCCCAGGGGCUAAAUAAUAGGAUAGAAACAAUGUUUGCAUGAAAUCCAAAAUCAACACAAGAAAGGAAGUCUUUGCAAUUGCAGAACCCCACCCAAGACAGCUCAGACUGUCCCAGUAUUGCACUGGAAAUGCUAUUUAUUUGUAUUCACACCACCAUAAAACUACCUUCAGCCAGAUUUACAGGCCUGUCAUUUUCUAAGUGUAUAAUGUAUGGUAAAUACAGGCCUCUGACAGCACAGGAAGAUACAAAAGCCAAAGGGCAGGAGGAAGCACAUGCUACUCUGGUCCCGUUUCACAUGCCAGGAGAAGGGAUUUGGAAGAACCUUUGCUGUUCUCACUACAGUACAUCCCUGCACUGACACCCAUGGUACCUGUGCCUGGACACCAUGCUGUGGUGGGGAGGAUUUGAAUUUGCAUCUCCCAGCUCUCCUACACAGAGUGCAGAAUUAUCAUUUGUAAUCUAAAAUUCCCACUGAAACCUUCCUUGGAUAAUCCCUGCUGUGCCCUGUGCGCCUCUGCCCUCCCGAGGUCGGAGCUGUCACAGAGCCUGGGGCAGGUGGCAGCUCCCUGCCGAAGGAGAGAGUGCUGGGAAGCACAGAGAGCUGCUUUGGGUGCUGGGCUGACUGCUCUGAUUUCACCCUACAGCACAAAGUGCUUGUGAGAACCAAAACAUCCAGCAGGUGCUGAAACUCCCUCCCUUGGUGUGGGAUCCAGAGCUGAGACACUGCCAGGAUGCAAGGCCAGCUCGGCCAGGCUCGCCCCAGGCACGGCCCUGCCCCAGCUGGGAGGGUCUGUGCAGCUCCCAGCCCGACCCCUCACACCAGGGCUAAGGACUCAUCACCAAUUCCUCAUUGUCAUCCUCAACAGGGGGACCAUCCCCAGCUGUGCCCUUCUCUCCUUGGGACAGCAAGUGAUAACUGUAUCUGACGUGAUGACACAAUUCCACAGCUCACAGGCCCUGGAACAGGGACUGCUUGUUGGCCAUCCUGCCUGAGAGAUCAUUUAAAAAUAAUUAGAAGAUGUAACAGUUUAUGUGGUGUAUGAUGCUUUGAUCAAGGUUUUUAAUUAACCUAUCUUGCUUUCAGCUACUGCAAGUUCAUUUCACCCUCACUGACAACAUCAUACAGGGAUUGACUAUAACCCAGUGGAGAGCAUGAGCCACAGGGCUCAGCUGCGGAGCUCCUUUAACCCCCUGGCCACCAGUGCUCCUGACAGGCCCCCCUAAGGGACGUGGGGUGCUCUGAGGGGUGAGGUGGCUGGGAGCAGGGGGCAGCAGCAGGCUGUGCCAGAUGCUGGCCAGGCACAGCCGCAGAGCCGGGCAGUGCAUCCAUCAGCACUGCUGCCACGCCAAGGCCGGCCAUUCAUCAACCAGUCAAUUGGGAAGCAGCACGGGGGCAUGGCCAGGACACGUCUCAAUGCUGCUGCCUUGGAAGGGAAGUGUCAGGCUGGAAUUAGUCACCCGAGUCCCUACAGUCAGAGAGACACAGGUCCUUCGCAAGGGUAAUUUGCUCCAUCAAUCUGUGUGGAGACAUUGAACCACUCACACGAUGUUAAGUCAGUGGGGAGGGAGGUAUAAAUGUCACCUGACAUUAAUGCUGCUGCCUCUGCAUGGCAAGGGAAGCUGCUCUCUGCAUCAGCUCAGGGCAGAUCUGCAGUGGCAGCAAGCUGGGGAAGGUGGAAGACAACCACAAGUCAUGAUGGUCCUAGCAAGAGCUGUCAGAAGGACCAGGGCAGGGAAGGAAUUAAAGCUCUCCUGUCUUCCAGAGUCCUGUUCCUCUACUAAAGCUGCCAUCAGAAUGAGCUUGUGCUCAAACUGCUGAAUGUGGGUAUCUCCGCUGAGCCGCCACGCUGAGCUGUGCCCCCCAGACUGCUCACAGGGCGUGGAUUGCUGCACGCCACCAAGCAGCACCACCGUGCCCCUGAGCAGGAGAUUGCCCAUCCCACGGCUCAUCUCCCCGCAGAAAUCGCCCUAAAGACACUGACUGGUACAAGCAGCAGCACUGUGUCUGCUGGUGCUUCCACCCAAGGUCACAACAUGAACUUGGUAUUGAACAAGAGCCUAAAACAAUUUUUGGCAAGUGAAGAGACUUACAGUGUGCUGUGCCAAGAGCUUUCCAAGAGGCAUUGGAGCAGGCUGUGCUAAUAAACCCUGUGGAGAGCCAUUGCA
rnacentral:lncRNA from 1 species